rnacentral:rRNA from 1 species
GACGAACGCUGGCGGCGUGCUUAACACAUGCAAGUGGUGCGACGAACCAGGCUUCGGCCUGGGGCAGAGCCGCGAACGGGUGAGUAACACGUGGGCAACCUGCCCUGUUGAUCGGGACAACCCGGGGAAACCCGGGCUAAUACCGAAUGUGGUGCCGGCUCAUUAGAGCCGUCCCGAACGGAAGCUUUGGGCUCCGCGACAGGAUGGGCCCGCGGCCCAUUAGCUUGUUGGAGGGGUAAGGGCCUACCAAGGCAACGAUGGGUAGCUGGUCUGAGAGGACGAUCAGCCACACUGGGACUGAGACCCGGCCCAGACUCCUACGGGAGGCUGCAGUGGGGAAUCUUGCGCAAUGAGCGACAGCUUGACGCAGCAACGCCGCGUGGGGGAAGAAGGCUUUCGGGUCGUAAACCCCUUUCAGUUAGGACGAAGCUUUAUUGGUUAAUAACCAAUUGGAGUGACGGUACUUUCAGAAGAAGCCCCGGCUAACUACGUGCCAGCAGCCGCGGUAA